UACCUAAUUUAAUUUUUUUUUCUAAGUUCGAAUUCUCCAGUACUAUACUUAUUUGUAAUAAUGAAUAAUAAUAUUCAGUAUUUAAGGGUAUUUUUAGAAAGUAUGGCUUUCUUCUCACAUAAUGUUACACCUUAACAUGUGUCCUCCAUAUUGUCCAUACCUAUUACCACGUGAUCAUGUUCAGAGAAUUCACUGACUAUGUCGCUACAUUUUGCCAUGUCCGGAACUAUCCUCGUUACUCAGGGGUCACAUUCAUCGUUGUCCAACAUUUACCCUUGGUGACAACGACUCUAAAAUACCUUAAUAUUAUCAUAUCAUCACUCUUCGUUUCAAAGGACGGAGUUCUGGACCCCCGCCGUGAUAUUGCUGGAAUAUUGCUUUAAGCGUCGUAAAACCAUACUCACUCAAACUAAAGAGAUUAUGAAACUCUUAAUACGCAUGCUUCGAACCAAGUUAACACUAUGUCGCCAGUAUCCCCGGUGGUGCAUGACAUAUUUCGAACCCCAUAUUUGUAGUGGGGAAUUGGCGCUAAUGAGGAGUUAUACGGUUUCUGAUAAACUUCUUCAUAGUAAUUGAAUGGGUCAAUCAUUGCAAUUAGUCAAAAAGUGCCCAUGGUGUACUAUAUCCUAUAUUAGCCAUGGUAGAGAUUAGAAUAUCUUCGUCAUAAUUUUCACUUAUAACUUAAAAAUGCAAUAUAGUUGACCAGAGUUGAUGUUUCUGCUUGUUGACUGAAGCCCCCGAGUUCCAUCAUAAGCUCUGUAGUAUAUAUUUAUCUAUGCUGAGUGAACUCGUAAAGAAAUGUUUGGUCCGAGGCAUUAAUACUGACGACCCCUCUCCCACACUGUUUUGUAUUAAACAAUUCUUUUCCUAUA